UACGGAGGGUGCAAGCGUUAAUCGGAAUUACUGGGCGUAAAGGGCGCGUAGGCGGCCUGUUAAGUCGAACGUGAAAUCCCCGGGCUCAACCCGGGAACUGCGUCCGAUACUGGCAGGCUUGAAUCCGGGAGAGGGAUGUGGAAUUCCAGGUGUAGCGGUGAAAUGCGUAGAUAUCUGGAGGAACACCGGUGGCGAAGGCGGCAUCCUGGACCGGUACUGACGCUGAGGUGCGAAAGCGUGGGGAGCAAACAGG
rnacentral:rRNA from 1 species